ASUGAGGAAUAUUGGACAAUGGGCGGGAGCCUGAUCCAGCCAUGCCGCGUGCAGGAAGACUGCCCUAUGGGUUGUAAACUGCUUUUAUACGGGAAGAAACACCCCCUCGUGAGGGGGCUUGACGGUACCGUAAGAAUAAGGAUCGGCUAACUCCGUGCCAGCAGCCGCGGUAAUACGGAGGAUCCAAGCGUUAUCCGGAAUCAUUGGGUUUAAAGGGUCYGUAGGUGGACCGUUAAGUCAGAGGUGAAAUCUUGCAGCUCAACUGUAGAAUUGCCUYUGAUACUGGCGGUCUUGAAUCAUUGUGAAGUGGUUAGAAUAUGUGGUGUAGCGGUGAAAUGCAUAGAUAUCACAUAGAAUACCGAUUGCGAAGGCAGAUCACUAACAAUGCAYUGACACUGAUGGACGAAAGCGUGGGGAGCGAACAGGAUUAGAUACCCUGGUAGUCCACGCCGUAAACGAUGGAUACUAGCUGUCCGGUCUUCGGACUGGGUGGCUAAGCGAAAGUGAUAA
rnacentral:rRNA from 1 species